UACGAAGGGGGCUAGCGUUGUUCGGAUUUACUGGGCGUAAAGCGCACGUAGGCGGAUCGUUAAGUCAGGGGUGAAAUCCUGGAGCUCAACUCCAGAACUGCCUUUGAUACUGGCGAUCUUGAGUCCGAGAGAGGUGAGUGGAAUUCCCAGUGUAGCGGUGAAAUGCGUAGAUAUUGGGAGGAACACCAGUGGCGAAGGCGGCUCACUGGACCGGUACUGACGCUGAGGCGCGAAAGCGUGGGGAGCAAACAGGUAUAAGCAACC
rnacentral:rRNA from 1 species